rnacentral:lncRNA from 1 species
GCCCCUGGCCCCUGUCAUGUAAUGGGGAAGACAGGCAUUAAGCUGAGAUCAGGAAUAGAUAUGGACACUGAAGGCAACACAGUGGCCAUGCAGGCCCUAAGGAUGGUGGUCAGGGGAACCGUCUUUGAGGGUGAUCUGUGGGGUCAGGGGAAGCUAUUCUAGGCAGAAGGGAUGGUGUACUUAAGGUGGGAGGAAUGUUUUGUGAUGAUUUGAAAGGUGUCCAGUGUGGCUGCACAAGUGAUGUGAAGAAGCCAUUGAUGAGGUUUAAAUAGGAGACUGACCCAGCUGCGUUUGUGGUCUUUAUAAAAUAAUUCUGGAUUGGAGGAAUCAAGCGAGGAAGGAAGGAGGGAAACCUGGCAGGGAGCUGCCGGAAUAAUUGGGUGUCAAUUAGCCCUACUUAACAGAUUUGAAGAUGGAGGCUCAGAGGGGCUAAGUAACUAGCUCAAGACUGCACAGUUAGAAAAACAGCAGAGUCAGGACUUGAACUCAGCACUAGUUUCGGCCAGUGGCUCUUCCAGUGGAAAGGAGUAAGAAGAAACAGAGAACAGGAUGGAAGAGAAGAGAAAUAGGAGAAUGAAGUGACCCAGGUAGGAGCCUGUCGUGCUCUGCCUGCCUGCAGAACAAAGUUCAAACUCCUUCACCUGGUACGCAAAGGUCUCCUUGAUCCAGCUUCUCUUCUGUUAACCCAUUCCUGGAUCCCCUGCAUUCUAUGCUCUGAAAGGGAAAAUGAUGUCAGAUUCAGGCCUGGGUUCUUAGUACCAGGCAUGGCCCAGGAAGGUGUUGAUGAAAAUUGAUGAACUGAGUUUCUUGAAAUUGUCCUUCACUUUCCUGCCUCCAGGCCUUUACCCACAAUGCUUCCUCCCCAAAGGGAAUGCCCUUUCUCUUGCUCAUGGACAUUCUAGAGCUAACUAGCCCCAUUGGCAAGGACUGCAUCUAGAAUCUUUGUAUCCCUCACAAAUCAGGUACGUGGGACGUGG